UACGUAGGGUGCGAGCGUUAAUCGGAAUUACUGGGCGUAAAGCGUGCGCAGGCGGUUUUGUAAGCCAGAUGUGAAAUCCCCGGGCUUAACCUGAGAAUGGCAUUUGGGACUGCAAGGCUGGAGUGCGGCAGAGGAGACUGGAAUUCCUGGUGUAGCAGUGAAAUGCGUAGAUAUCAGGAGGAAUACCGAUGGCGAAGGCAGGUCUCUGGGCUGACACUGACGCUCAUGCACGAAAGCGUGGGGAGCAAACAGG
rnacentral:rRNA from 1 species